GCUCCAGGGUAAGUCGGUCCCGGUGGCUGCUGGCCAGAGUCCCCUGCGUGGCCAUGUGGCCCCAGGGCUAGCCCACCGCCCCUUCUCGGCGCGCUCCUCCCUGCCCCGGCGUCCACCCCACCCCGCCGCCCCGGCGAGACCCUGGUGAGCCCGUCGGGCUGGGACCCGGCGGAAGCACAGGGCGGGACGGCUUCCAGGGUCUUGGCGAGGACCCCGCGCGCCCUCAGUAGUCCUGGGGACAGGGACACAGUCUGUUUAUGGAGUGAACGCGAUCAGAGGCCCCGUGGAGUUGAAGAUGCUGAUGAUAUUAAGGUCCCAUGCCUGGAGGAGUCAGUGAAACUUGUGAAGAAGAUAAGGUGUGUGAUGUGGCUAUGUAUACAAAAUAGAGGAUUUGACUUUCUUCAUCCCUUUCAUGGUGGGAGUAGGGGUGAAUUUUGUGAUGCUCCAAAUUAAAUAUAGAAAGAUAAUUUGGGAAUUUUGUACCUCUGCUCUGUAACUGAGUUGGCCCCAUAAGAGAAGUUCUGUAGCGUUCAGUUUCAUUAUGUAAGAUAAGUUUCCUAUCAUCCAGUCCUAGUGUAAAACUUGACCCAGUAUUAGCAUCAAUUUUGUAUGUUUCCAUGUUUUUCUGCAAUAGAUGACUUUAAUGAUUAAAUUUGAACCUUUGACAGAAACAGAUCUCCAAGAGAUCAGGGAGGGGUGGAUUGCAGAUGGACAAAAGGGAUUUUUGUUUGUUUGUUUUAAGUGAGUUACAUCUUCACUGCAUUUGUCAAACACCUAUUUGACAGGGUCAAUUUUCCUGAAUGUAAAUUCAUACUCUAAUAAACAUGACCUUUAAAACAUCCUUUCUGGUGUCUUAAUGACUUGUUUCCAAAGAAAUCUGGAAGGUGGUUUGGUAAUACCAUUUACAUGACUUUAUUCUGAUAUUAACAGCAAAAAAUGUGUUAUUUUUAGGAUAUAAAGUCACGUACGUGACUCAUUAUACGACAACGCUGAGAGCUAGGUGUUACAGGUAGUAAGGCAUUGGCACGCUAGUCUGAUGAACGUCACCCUAUGCAUAAAGGGGGCAACAACAUGGGUUGCUCUGCCUUUGCUGUGGUACUUUUCCCAGUCUGAAAACCCAUUGUCGCCACAAGUAGCAAAAUGCGCCAUGGAAGGUUACAUGUUCCAUUGCUUUGUUAAUACUAACAGCCUUGCUUUCCAUAAUGGCUGAUUUCCAUUCCAAUAAAGCAGAGCCUUGGCCAGUAUUGGCUUGCCAGGAAAGUAGGAAAAUGAGGUUCCAGAGGCAGAGUAACUGGCCUUGGGAGCCUGAUGGUAGGUAAGCCACUGAAUUUACUCCUGGGAAAGGCUGAUUGAAAGAAUCAGUCUGAUUCCUUUUUCCUCUUGGAGAUAGUCAAAGAUGAUUCUGGAAGGACCAAUGGGUUCAAUGAGCCCUGCCCUGUGAUCAAGGGUACUGAGCUCAGUUUGUGCCAUCUUUCCUGUGUGAGCAAACGGUCCUUCAGCCUAUUUUCUGGGUUUGAUGGAUUCUUUGCUGCACUCCCAAAUCCCUAUUCUUAAACCAUAGCAACUGAGAAUUGUACAAUACUGUGAUUAAGAGAUUUGGAACCGCUGAGAAUGGGGCAAGUAGGAUUAACUUGCCUUCUUUAGUACAGCACACAUACCCUGUGGUUAACAGCUGGAGAGGAAUGAAAACACCGUUACUUGUGCUUCGUUUGCUUAAAGAGAAGGGAAGCAAAUUUGAACUUAAUGUUGUCAGAAGAGUUAUUCUA